rnacentral:tRNA from 1 species
CUCCUAGUAGCUCAGUUGGUUCAGCGCGUUCGACUGUAAAUCGAAAGGUCACCUGUUCGACUGAGGUCUGGGAGA